rnacentral:rRNA from 1 species
UAGAUAAUGUGCCCCUUAGUUCGGGAUAGCCACUGGAAACGGUGAUUAAUACCGGAUACUCCUUCUUGUUAUAAGACAAGUCGGGAAAGUUUUUCGCUAAGGGAUCAGUCUAUGUUCCAUCAGCUUGUUGGUGAGGUAAUGGCUCACCAAGGCUAUGACGGAUAUCUGGUUUGAGAGGAUGAUCAGACACACUGGAACUGAGACACGGUCCAGACUCCUACGGGAGGCAGCAGUGAGGAAUAUUGCACAAUGGAGGAAACUCUGAUGCAGCAACGCCGCGUGGAGGAUGACGCAUUUCGGUGUGUAAACUCCUUUUAUUAGGGAAGAUAAUGACGGUACCUAAUGAAUAAGCACCGGCUAACUCCGUGCCAGCAGCCGCGGUAAUACGGAGGGUGCAAGCGUUACUCGGAAUCACUGGGCGUAAAGGGUGCGUAGGCUGGCUUUUAAGUCAGAUGUGAAAUCCAAUGGCUCAACCAUUGAACUGCAUUUGAAACUGAAAGCCUAGAGUUCAGAAGGGGCAGAUGGAAUUAGUGGUGUAGGGGUAAAAUCCGUAGAUAUCACUAGGAAUAUCAAAAGCGAAGGCGAUCUGCUGGGAUGAU